GAUGAACGCUAGCGGCAGGCUUAAUACAUGCAAGUCGAGGGGCAGCAUGGUGUAGCAAUACACUGAUGGCGACCGGCAAACGGGUGCGGAACACGUACACAACCUCCCUUCAAGCGGGGCAUAGCCCAGAGAAAUUUGGAUUAAUGCCCCAUAGAAUAUUGGAAAGGCAUCUUUGUGAUAUUAAAGAUUUAUCACUCGAAGAGGGGUGUGCGGCUGAUUAGGUAGUUGGCGGGGUAACGGCCCACCAAGCCUUCGAUCAGUAACUGGCGUGGGAGCACGACCAGUCGAACGGGGACUGAGACACGGGCCCAACUGCUACGGGAGGCAGCAGUAAGGAAUAUUGGUCAAAGGACGAAAGUCUGAACCAGCCAUGCCGCGUGGAGGAUGAAGGUCAUAUGGAUUGUAAACGUGUUUAAUAUGGGACGAAGAAGGGGCUUUCUAGCUCAACUGACGGUACCAUAUGAAUAAGCACCGGCUAACUCCGUGCCAGCAGCCGCCGUAAAAC
rnacentral:rRNA from 1 species